rnacentral:rRNA from 1 species
UACGUAGGGGGCGAGCGUUGUCCGGAAUCAUUGGGCGUAAAGCGCGUGUAGGCGGCCCGGUAAGUCCGCUGUGAAAGUCCAGGGCUCAACCCUGGGAUGCCGGUGGAUACUGUCGGGCUCGAGUCCGGAAGAGGCGAGUGGAAUUCCUGGUGUAGCGGUGAAAUGCGCAGAUAUCAGGGGGAACACCAAUGGCGAAGGCAGCUCGCUGGGACGUGACUGACGCUGAGACGCGAAAGCGUGGGGAGCAAACAGG